rnacentral:rRNA from 1 species
CAGGCCUAACACAUGCAAGUCGAACGGUAACAGGAAGCAGCUUGCUGCUUUGCUGACGAGUGGCGGACGGGUGAGUAAUGUCUGGGAAACUGCCUGAUGGAGGGGGAUAACUACUGGAAACGGUAGCUAAUACCGCAUAACGUCGCAAGACCAAAGAGGGGGACCUUCGGGCCUCUUGCCAUCGGAUGUGCCCAGAUGGGAUUAGCUAGUAGGUGGGGUAACGGCUCACCUAGGCGACGAUCCCUAGCUGGUCUGAGAGGAUGACCAGCCACACUGGAACUGAGACACGGUCCAGACUCCUACGGGAGGCAGCAGUGGGGAAUAUUGCACAAUGGGCGCAAGCCUGAUGCAGCCAUGCCGCGUGUAUGAAGAAGGCCUUCGGGUUGUAAAGUACUUUCAGCGGGGAGGAAGGCGAUAAGGUUAAUAACCUUGUCGAUUGACGUUACCCGCAGAAGAAGCACCGGCUAACUCCGUGCCAGCAGCCGCGGUAAUACGGAGGGUGCAAGCGUUAAUCGGAAUUACUGGGCGUAAAGCGCACGCAGGCGGUCUGUCAAGUCGGAUGUGAAAUCCCCGGGCUCAACCUGGGAACUGCAUUCGAAACUGGCAGGCUAGAGUCUUGUAGAGGGGGGUAGAAUUCCAGGUGUAGCGGUGAAAUGCGUAGAGAUCUGGAGGGAAUACCGG